GGGAAUGUGACACUGCGGUAAAUC
rnacentral:siRNA from 1 species